UACGUAGGCAGCGAGCGUUGUUCGGAAUUACUGGGCGUAAAGAGUGUGUAGGCGGUGCUCUAAGUUCGGUGUGAAAUCUCCCGGCUUAACUGGGAGGGUGCGCCGGAAACUGGAGUGCUCGAGCGUGGGAGAGGAAAGCGGAAUUCCUGGUGUAGCGGUGAAAUGCGUAGAUAUCAGGAGGAACACCUGCGGUGUAGACGGCUUUCUGGACCAUCGCUGACGCUGAGACACGAAAGCGUGGGUAGCAAACAGG
rnacentral:rRNA from 1 species